rnacentral:ncRNA from 1 species
GACAGGUUAGUUUUACCCCUACUGAUGAAGCGUUGUUGCCACAGUAAUCCUGCUCAGUACGAGAGGAACCGCAGAAUUCAGACAUUUGGUUCAUGUGCUUGGCUGAUAAGCCAAUGGUGCGAAGCUACCAUCUGAGGGAUUAUGACUGAACGCCCCUCUAAGUCAGAAUCCCGCCUGGAAAGCGACGAUGCAUUCGUGCCUCGGCCUCGAGAGGCGUAGCUAGACGGCCGCGUGGCCGUGGAAAGAUUCCGACCCGAGAGGGCGCGGCAAGAGGCGGCCUCGAAGUCGGUGGAUCCUCCUGCUCGAAAGGCGGGGUGCUAAACCAUUCGCAGACGACCUAGUUGAAGAUCGGGGUGUCGUGAUCACUAGAGCAGUACAUCUCACUGCGAUUUGUUGAGAGUAAGCCUCAAGAUCUGUCGGUUUGU